UACGAAGGGGGCUAGCGUUGUUCGGAAUUACUGGGCGUAAAGCGCACGCAGGCGGCUCGAUAAAUUAGAAGUGAAAGCCCCGGGCUUAACCUGGGAAUUGCUUUUAAGACUGUCGGGCUAGAAUCCAGAAGAGGGUAGUGGAAUUCCGAGUGUAGAGGUAAAAUUCGUAGAUAUUCGGAAGAACACCAGUGGCGAAGGCGACUACCUGGUCUGGCAUUGACGCUCAUGUGCGAAAGCGUGGGGAGCAAACAGG
rnacentral:rRNA from 1 species